rnacentral:rRNA from 1 species
ACGCACAUUGCGGCCCUAG